CUGGAGGUAUCAGAAGUGCGAAUGCUGACAUAAGUAACGAUAAAGCGGGUGAAAAGCCCGCUCGCCGGAAGACCAAGGGUUCCUGUCCAACGUUAAUCGGGGCAGGGUGAGUCGACCCCUAAGGCGAGGCCGAAAGGCGUAGUCGAUGGGAAACGGGUUAAUAUUCCCGUACUUGGUGUUACUGCGAAGGGGGGACGGAGAAGGCUAUGUUGGCCGGGCGACGGUUGUCCCGGUUUAAGCGUGUAGGUGUGUGUUCCAGGUAAAUCCGGUUCACUUUAACACUGAGGCGUGACGACGAGGCACUACGGUGCUGAAGCAACAAAUGCCCUGCUUCCAGGAAAAGCCUCUAAGCAUCAGGUAACAUCAAAUCGUACCCCAAACCGACACAGGUGGUCAGGUAGAGAAUACCAAGGCGCUUGAGAGAACUCGGGUGAAGGAACUAGGCAAAAUGGUGCCGUAACUUCGGGAGAAGGCACGCUGACACGUAGGUGAAGUGAUUUACUCACGGAGCUGAAGUCAGUCGAAGAUACCAGCUGGCUGCAACUGUUUAUUAAAAACACAGCACUGUGCAAACACGAAAGUGGACGUAUACGGUGUGACGCCUGCCCGGUGCCGGAAGGUUAAUUGAUGGGGUCAGCGCAAGCGAAGCUCCUGAUCGAAGCCCCGGUAAACGGCGGCCGUAACUAUAACGGUCCUAAGGUAGCGAAAUUCCUUGUCGGGUAAGUUCCGACCUGCACGAAUGGCGUAAUGAUGGCCAGGCUGUCUCCACCCGAGACUCAGUGAAAUUGAACUCGCUGUGAAGAUGCAGUGUACCCGCGGCAAGACGGAAAGACCCCGUGAACCUUUACUAUAGCUUGACACUGAACAUUGAGCCUUGAUGUGUAGGAUAGGUGGGAGGCUUUGAAGUGUGGACGCCAGUCUGCAUGGAGCCGACCUUGAAAUACCACCCUUUAAUGUUUGAUGUUCUAACGUGGACCCGUGAUCCGGGUUGCGGACAGUGUCUGGUGGGUAGUUUGACUGGGGCGGUCUCCUCCUAAAGAGUAACGGAGGAGCACGAAGGUUGGCUAAUCCUGGUCGGACAUCAGGAGGUUAGUGCAAUGGCAUAAGCCAGCUUGACUGCGAGCGUGACGGCGCGAGCAGGUGCGAAAGCAGGUCAUAGUGAUCCGGUGGUUCUGAAUGGAAGGGCCAUCGCUCAACGGAUAAAAGGUACUCCGGGGAUAACAGGCUGAUACCGCCCAAGAGUUCAUAUCGACGGCGGUGUUUGGCACCUCGAUGUCGGCUCAUCACAUCCUGGGGCUGAAGUAGGUCCCAAGGGUAUGGCUGUUCGCCAUUUAAAGUGGUACGCGAGCUGGGUUUAGAACGUCGUGAGACAGUUCGGUCCCUAUCUGCCGUGGGCGCUGGAGAACUGAGGGGGGCUGCUCCUAGUACGAGAGGACCGGAGUGGACGCAUCACUGGUGUUCGGGUUGUCAUGCCAAUGGCACUGCCCGGUAGCUAAAUGCGGAAGAGAUAAGUGCUGAAAGCAUCUAAGCACGAAACUUGCCCCGA
rnacentral:rRNA from 4 species